UGGAUCCAGACCUUUAUUAUGGCUCAGGAUGAACGCUAGCUACAGGCUUAACACAUGCAAGUCGAGGGGCAGCGGGAUUGAAGCUUGCUUCAAUUGCCGGCGACCGGCGCACGGGUGAGUAACGCGUAUCCAACCUUCCGUACACUCAGGGAUAGCCUUUCGAAAGAAAGAUUAAUACCUGAUGGUAUGAUGAGAUUGCAUGGUAUCAUCAUUAAAGAUUUAUCGGUGUACGAUGGGGAUGCGUUCCAUUAGGUAGUAGGCGGGGUAACGGCCCACCUAGCCAACGAUGGAUAGGGGUUCUGAGAGGAAGGUCCCCCACAUUGGAACUGAGACACGGUCCAAACUCCUACGGGAGGCAGCAGUGAGGAAUAUUGGUCAAUGGACGAGAGUCUGAACCAGCCAAGUAGCGUGAAGGAUGAAGGUCCUACGGAUUGUAAACUUCUUUUAUAAGGGAAUAAACCCUCCCACGUGUGGGAGCUUGUAUGUACCUUAUGAAUAAGCAUCGGCUAACUCCGUGCCAGCAGCCGCGGUAAUACGGAGGAUGCGAGCGUUAUCCGGAUUUAUUGGGUUUAAAGGGAGCGCAGACGGGUCGUUAAGUCAGCUGUGAAAGUUUGGGGCUCAACCUUAAAAUUGCAGUUGAUACUGGCGUCCUUGAGCGCGGUUGAGGUGUGCGGAAUUCGUGGUGUAGCGGUGAAAUGCUUAGAUAUCACGAAGAACUCCGAUUGCGAAGGCAGCACACUAAUCCGUAACUGACGUUCAUGCUCGAAAGUGUGGGUAUCAAACAGGAUUAGAUACCCUGGUAGUCCACACGGUAAGCGAUGGAUACUCGCUGUUGGCGAUAUACUGUCAGCGGCUUAGCGAAAGCGUUAAGUAUCCCACCUGGGGAGUACGCCGGCAACGGUGCAACUCAAAGGAAUUGACGGA
rnacentral:rRNA from 2 species